UUUGCCUUUCUCGUACACUAAGUGUACUGGAAAGGCUAUAUGUUCACUCCAAAAAUGACUUUUCGAUAGAAGGCCCGGAGGGUCGAGUCACAUAUACCAAUCAACUCAGCUCGAUGAAUUGAGGUGAUGUCUGUGUGUAUGUAUGUGUGUGUGUAUGUAUGUGUGUAUGUGUGUGUAAAAAAACUCACAUCACUUUUUGGCAGUAAACCUCAUCCGAUUUCAAUGACCGACGGUUCAUUCGACGCGGAAUCUGGUCCCAUUGUUUCCUAUUGAAAAUGGUUCGAAUCGGUCCAGCCGUUCCGGAGAUAUGGCCAUUUAGGUGUUCCGGAACGGUACCCCAGGAAGGGACCAGAUAUGAAAAUGCAUCAAACCUAUGCAUGCGACACAUCAAACCACGGCAUUUUCAAUAACCUGAUGAGCGGUAAGCAGGAAAAUAGUCUCAGACCAUAUCUGAACCGGUAGUGUUCCCGAACCGGUUCUGGGCGUCCCGCUGGAAGUGGCCAAAUAUGCAAUUGAACCAAACCCAUGCAUGCGACACAUCAAACCACGGCAUUUUCGAUGACCUGAUGGACAAUGAGCAGGAAAAUCAUCCCAGACCAUAUCUGAACCGGUAGUGUUCCGGAACCGGUUCUAGGCGUUCCACUGGAAGUGGCCAAAAAUACAAUUGAACCAAACCAAUGCAUGUGACACAUCAAACCACGGCAUUUUCGAUGACCUGAUGGACAAUGAGCAGGAAAAUCAUCUUAGACCAUAUUUGAACCAGUAGUGUUCCGGAACCGGUUCCGGGGUUCCCGCCGAAGUGGUCAAAUCUGAAAGAGAAACAAACCCGUACAUGCGUCACAUCAAAUAGCGGCUUUUUAGAUUACCUAAUGAACGGCCAGCAAGUGUUUCGGAAUCGGUUUUGAGUGGCCGGGAGAGGCCAAAUGUAAAAGUAAACCAAAUCCAGGCAUGUGACACAUCAAGUCGUGGCUUUUGCGAUAACCUGAUGAACAGUUAGCUAGAAAAUAGCCUUAGGUCACACUAAAGAAAACUGGUAGUGUUCCGGAAUGGGUUCCGAGAGUCCCGUCGAAAUUGUCAAACUCUGCAUGUGACACCAUCAAUUUGCAGCGUUUUUGGUUAACCGAUGAGCAGUUAACAAGACAAUAAUGUCAGACCAUAUUUGGUUCAGCCGGUAGUUACCCAGAAUCAGAUCCGGGUAGUAAAAUGUAAAAUUUAGCCAAACCCAUGGAUGCGGUGUAUCAAAUCACGACCAGUCUUGUAAACAUUCGACACUUUUCACUACCUUCAUUUCGUUGCCGCAGUCGGGUGUCAGCUUGCUUUGCUACAUUCGUGCGCUACCGUUACCUCUUACCUACACACAACACGAGCAGUAGAACGAAGAUCAAUAAACCUAAGAAAGAGUCAAAUCAAUGUCAUCUGACACGAUGACACGUGUGUAAUUCUAGCAUUAGGCAUAGAUUCUCAGCCAAUUCCGAUUAUGAAUGUUAAUAUGAGUUUAUUCUUGCAUGUUGCAUUGAAUACGGCACACAGAUGGGCAACAUAGCUCUUGUUAUGGAAGAAGACAGGAAUAACAAAAGCCGAACCGUCUUCCGAAGCCGCUAUCGUGGUGAAGUGCAUUCGUUUGACAUUUUUGUUUCGAACAGUAGUUUGAUUGAUUGUGUUGCGAAUACCGGAGACAAAGGAGGCCGAAUAUCGACGAAAAGGUUCAAAUGACUGUGAUCUCUAACAAGACUGAUCACGACUUAUCGACAUCCUGAUGGAAAAAUAGGGUCAGACCCGGUAGUGUUGCGGGUUCAGCUGUGGCUUCGAAGGUGGUUAAAAGUAAAAGUGAAUCAAACUCAUACAUGCGAUAAAUCAAAUCGCGGUGAUUAGGUAAAGGUGAAAAAUAAGCAAUAAAAUAAUCUCAGAUCAUAAUUGGGACAACCGGUAGUGUCAUGGUCCAUGACUCAUGGAAUCAGAUUCGGCUAUCCCACCGGAUAUUACCAAAUAUAAAAAUGAACCAAACCCAUAUAUACGACACAUCAGAUCGCAGAUUUUUUGAUAAUCUAAUGAACGGUUAGCAAGAAAAUAGCCUUAGAUCACAUUAGAGACUAGCUUUUGUGUAGCAGAACCAACGUUCAUGUGAAAAAUUAAAUCGUGGCUUUGUUUAAUGGCCUGAUAAACGUUAGGUAUGAACAACAGUGACGAAUCGGUCUAAGUUCACAUAUAUGAAAGAGAACAAAAUAUAGACAAAACUAAAGCGAUCUCACCAAAUCGCACCAUUUCAGAUUCCUAAGGUGUAAAUUUAUAGCAGGAUGGGUCAACGUUGAAUGGAAAAAUAAAAAUUUGAGCGCGUCAACAGAAGAUGGCGGCUGUUUUAAGGAAUUUUGAGCUCUAAAACUAUGUAAAAUAAAUGUGUUUGGUAUGGGAAAUAUGUUCGGAGUCCACCAGAGUAUCCAAGAUAGCGGUCCAAAAUCCAAGAUAAUGGCCCAGUAUUCAAGUAAGUGCCUAUUUUAUAGGAUGUUUAAUUCUUGCAUUAUGGGCAUAUUUUGUAUGGAGAUAUGUUCAUAUAGCCGAGGCGGUAAACGCACGGGUAUUCAGCAUGACCAUGCUGAGGGUGACGGGUUCGAUUCCCGGUCGGUCCAGGAUCUUUUCGUAAAGGAAAUUUCCUUGACUUCCUUGGGCAUAGAGUAUCUUCGUGCCUGCCACACGAUAUACGCAUGCAAAAUGGUCAUUGGCAGAGGAAGCUCUCAUUAAUAACUGUGGAAGUGCUCAUAGAACACUAAGCUGAGAAGCAGGCUUUGUCCCAAUGAGGACGUUACGCCAAGAAGAGAGAGAGAGAGAACUUCCCUCAGCGUGGGAGUUGGUUCAUUUCCGUCCUCCGCUGAACUGGCAUCGUCGGUUCUUCCGUUGCCGUGGUCCUCUGAUGCAGACGUUCUCCGUGCCAUUCAGGUGCUGAUCAAAGAUCUGCUUCCACCUUUCGAUCACCUCACGUCCGUCCGUCAAAAGGCCUCCGUCCUUAUCCUUGCAUAUUUUGACUCACAGCAGGAAGCCGUCGCCAGGCGGCGCUUUUUCUCCCGAAAGAGGCGAGUCUGCUGUUUCCGCUUAUGGUUGUAACGCUCCGUGUUCUGUCGGGUGUCGGGUGCUGCAGCAUUACCGCCCGUACUGCGUUCUUCUCCUCCAAAACUGUUCUGAACUCUUCGUUGAACCAUUCGUUUCGUCGAUUCCGUUUCACGUAAUCGAUGGUGCUCUCGGCUGCGACGUUGAUGGAUGCUUUCAUUGUAGGUACUCCAACAGUCCUCUAGAGGGGCCUCAUCGAGCUCACCCUUGUCUGGCAACGCGGCCUCGAAAUUAGCCUCUGCAUGCUGUGAGAUUUUGACUUUUACUGCGAGCACUGUGUUCAAAAUUCCUGUGAGAGUGAGCAGGACAGCACCAAAACAGAGCUCGCAGUAAAAGUCAAAAGCCAAAGGAAUUUUGACAGCAUAUGCUGUGUGUACACAGGCUAAUUCUGCGCGUAUGCUGUGACAACAUCCGGUUAUUUCAGUCGCUCAAGGUUGAACCGUGGCGGUCGCCGGUACCGUACAUUGUUGAUGGCGGAGAGUUUUGGGCGCAAUUUGACCAUCACUAGGUAGUGGUCGGAGUUGAUGUAGGCGCCACGAUAGGUUCUGACGUCGAUACUGUCGGAGAAGUGCCAUCCGUCAUUCAGAACGUGAUCGAUUUUGGAUUCCGUCUGCUGUGGUUAUCUCCAGGUGUAACGAUAAGGGAGA